CCUGUACUCCCUCCGUCCCAAAAUUCGUGUCUUACAUUUGUCUAAAUAUGGAUGUAUCAAAUAUUGUCUUAGAUUUGUCUAGAUACAGAUGUAUCUAAUAUUAAGACGUGACUUGAUACAUUCGUACUUAGAUAAAUCUAAGACAAGACUUUCGGGACGGAGGGAGUAGAAU
rfam:Triticum aestivum genome assembly, contig: Triticum_aestivum_CS42_TGACv1_scaffold_404552_5BL